GGAUCGCUAGCUCAACGGUAGAGCAAUCGACUGCAGAUCGGUAGGUUUCUGGUUCAAAUCCGGAGCGGUCCU
rnacentral:tRNA from 1 species